CAGAUGAGGAUGAAUUUAUAUACUAUAAUCCAACACUUGAUCUGAGGAAUUUGUUUCCCUUGAUGUUAAAUAGUAAAUUUCUGAAUCUGU